rnacentral:rRNA from 1 species
CAGCAGCCGCGGUAAUACGUAGGUGGCAAGCGUUGUCCGGAAUUAUUGGGCGUAAAGGGCUCGCAGGCGGUUUCUUAAGUCUGAUGUGAAAGCCCCCGGCUCAACCGGGGAGGGUCAUUGGAAACUGGGAAACUUGAGUGCAGAAGAGGAGAGUGGAAUUCCACGUGUAGCGGUGAAAUGCGUAGAGAUGUGGAGGAACACCAGUGGCGAAGGCGACUCUCUGGUCUGUAACUGACGCUGAGGUGCGAAAGCGUGGGGAGCGAACAGGAUUAGAUACCCCUGUAGUCCCUGUCUCUUAUAC